AUACUCACUUCCGCAGCACAUAUACUAAAAUUGGAAUGAUCCAGAGAAGAUUAGCAUGGUCCCUGUGCAAUGUUUGACACACAAAUUCCAUAUUUUU
ensembl:snRNA U6 U6 spliceosomal RNA